rnacentral:rRNA from 1 species
CGGCGAAAGGGUGAGUAACACGUGGGUAAUCUGCCCUUGGAAUCGGGAUAACUUGCCGAAAGGCGGGCUAAUACCGGAUAAGACCACGCGGACUGAUGUCCGUGCGGUAAAAGGUGGCCUCUCGACGAAGCUAUCAUCCAAGGAUGAGCCCGCGGCCUAUUAGCUAGUUGGUGGGGUAAUGGCCUACCAAGGCGAUGAUGGGUAGCCGGCCUGAGAGGGUGUACGGCCACACUGGAACUGAGACACGGUCCAGACUCCUACGGGAGGCAGCAGUGGGGAAUUUUGCGCAAUGGGGGAAACCCUGACGCAGCAACGCCGCGUGAGUGAUGAAGGCCUUCGGGUUGUAAAGCUCUUUUAGUGGGAAAGAAAUGCAUCGGUGCCAAUACCACCGGUGUUUGACGGUACCCACAGAAAAAGUUCCGGCUAACUCCGUGCCAGCAGCCGCGGUAAUACGGAGGGAGCAAGCGUUGUUCGGAAUCAUUGGGCGUAAAGCGCGCGCAGGCGGUUGGGUAAGUCAGACGUGAAAGCCCAUGGCUCAACCAUGGAACUGCGUUUGAUACUGCUCGGCUAGAGUUCAGGAGAGGUGGGCGGAAUUCCCAGUGUAGAGGUGAAAUUCGUAGAUACUGGGAGGAACAUCUGUGGCGAAGGCGGCUCACUGGACUGAUACUGACGCUGAGGCGCGAAAGCGUGGGGAGCAAACGGGAUUAGAUACCCCGGUAGUCCACGCUGUAAACUAUGGACACUAGGUGUAGGAGGUAUCGACCCCUCCUGUGCCGUAGCUACGCAUUAAGUGUCCCGCCUGGGGAUUACGGCCGCAAGGCUAAACUCAAGGAAUUGACGGGGGCCCGCACAAGCGGUGGAGCAUGUGGUUUAAUUCG